rnacentral:lncRNA from 1 species
CAUGAUUCUUCUUACUUAAUUUUUACAUUUAUAGAAGAAUAUAAGACUAGCUAGAUAGCAUUAGAGUGCUUUAUUUUGCCAGAAUACUUUUGAGACGUAUGUGUUUUUAAAUAUGUGGUACAUUGUAUAAAAUGAGUAUAAGCAUUAUGCAAUUAACAUGGGGAUAAAAUAAUAAUUUAGAGAUAUAAAUGCAUAUAUGUAUUUCUUAACUUUUUAGGUUUUAAUAAUACUAUAUCAAGGUUAAUAUUAUUUUUUCUCAAUUUUUUACUGUACAUUUUGACAGAUUAUUACAUAAACCCCAAACUGUUCUAUUUUUUUAUACGACCUCAAAAAUUAAAAAAAUUUUGGUCGUAUAUUGGUACGACGUUGUCGUUGUCGUCCGAAGACAUUUGGUUUUCGCACUAUAACUUUAGUAAAAGUAAAUAGAAAUCUAUGAAAUUAAAAAACAAGGUUUAUGACCAUAAAAGGGAGGUUGGGAUUGAUUUUAGGAGUUUUGGUCCCAACAGUUUAGGAAUUAGGGGCCAAAAAGGGCCUAAAUAAGCAUUUUUCUUGGUUUUCGCUCAAUAACUUUAGUAUAAGUAAACAGAAAUCUAUGAAAUUUUAACAUAUGGUUUAUGACCACAAAAGGAAGGUGGUUGGGAUUGAUUUUGGGAGUUUUGGUCCCAACAGUUUAGGAAUUAGGGGCCAAAAAAAAGGUCCCAAAUAAGCAUUUUUCUUGGUUUUUGCACAAUAACUUUAGUAUAAGUAAAUAGAAAUCUAUGAAAUUUUAACACAAGGUUUAUGACCACAAAAGGAAGGUUGGGAUUGAUUUUGAUAGUUUUGGUCCCAACAGUUUAGGAAUAAGGGACCAAAAGGGUCCAAAAUUAAACUAAGUUAGAUUUUAACAAAAAUUGAAUUCUUGGGGUUCUUUGAUAUGCUGAACUAAACAUAUACCGGUACUUAGAUUUUUGAUUAUGGGCCCAGUUGUCAAGUUGGUCCAAAUCAGGGUCCAAAUUUAAACUUUGUUUGAUUUUAACAAAAAUUGAAUAUAUGGGGUUCUUCAAUAUGCUGAAUCUAACCAUGUAUUUAGAUUUUUAUACGCCCGGGACAAGACGUAUUAUGGUAUACCGUUGUCCGUCCGUCCGUCCGUCCGUCCGUCUGUCCGUCCGUCCGUCCGUCUGUCCGUCCGUCCGUCGUCCACACUUCGGACAAUAACUCAAAAACACCUUCAUCAAUUUCCAUGAAACUUAAGUGAAUUGUUUAUAUCUAUUGACGUAAGCUCCCUUUCGUUUUUUUUUUUAAUUUCAGAUUUUAAGUUUUUGAUUUAUGGGGCUUUAUUCAUAAAAAAAGGGGGAAUUUUCAACACUUCGGACAAUAACUCAAAAAGGCUUUCACCAAUGUCCAUGAAACUUUGGUGAAUUGUUUAUAUCUAUUGACGUAAGCUCCCUUUCGUUUUUUUUUUAAUUUCAGAUUUUAAGUUUUGGAUUUAUGGGGCUUUAUUCAUAAAAAAUGGGGGGAUUUUCAACACUUCGGACAAUAACUCGAAAAGGCUUUCACCAAUGUCCAUGAAACUUUGGUGAAUUGAUUAUAUCUAUUGAUGUAAGCUCCCUUUCGUUUUUUUUUAAUUUCAGAUUUUAAGUUUUGGAUUUAUGGGGCUUUAUACAUAAAUAAAGGGGGAUUUUUAACACUUCGGACAAUUACUCAAAAAGGCUUUCACCAAUGUCCAUGAAACUUUGGUGAAUUGUUUAUAUCUAUUGAUGUAAGCUCCCUUUCAAUUUUUAUAAAUUUCAGAUUUUAAGUUUUGGAUUUAUGGGGCUUUAUUCAUAAAAAAAGGGUGAUUUUUAACACUUAGGACAAUAACCCAAAAAGGCUUUCACCAAUGUCCAUGAAACUUUGGUGAAUUGUUUAUAUCUAUUGAUGUAAGCUCCCUUUCAAUUUUUUUAUAAUUUCAGAUUUUAAGUUUUGGAUUUAUGGGGCUUUAUUCAUAAAAAAAAAGGGUGAUUUUUAACACUUCGGACAAUAACUCAAAAAGGCUUUCACCAAUGUCCAUGAAACUUUGGUGAAUUGUUUAUAUCUAUUAAUGUAAGCUCCCUUUCAAUUUUUAUAAAUUUCAGAUUUUACAUUUCCGUGUUAUGAAUUUUUAUGCCUAAAAAAGGGGGGAUUUUUCCAAUUUUGGGACUAUAACUAACACUUUCACAAAAUUUUAUGUAUGGAUGAAAAAUUAAGAAAACAAACUUAGUUAAAUUUGAGGUAGCCUUAAUAGUGCCAAUUUUUUUGUGCAUUUUUAUUUAUUAUUUGUAUUUGACAGGGCUCACACUAUUUCUAGUUGAUCAUAUAAAUUCAUUUAGAGCAUAAAAGACAAGUUAAAAGAGCAACGGGCGUAUCAUGCGCCUAAGCGCAGCACUUUAUUAAUAUUUGGGCCCGGUUAUCAAAUUGGUCCACAUGGAGGUCUAAAGGGUCUAAAAUUGAACAUUAUUUGAUUUUAUCAAAAAGUGAAUUCUUGGGGUUCUAUAAUAUGCUGAAUCUAACCAUGUAUUUAGAUUUUGGAUAUUGGACCAUAAUAGGUAAAUGUCCGAUUUAAAAUUUUUAAGUUUUUAAGUUUAAAUUCUUAGACCACAUUCAUUCUGUGUCAGAAACCUUUGUUGUGUCAGCUAUUUAAGCACAAUCCAAAUUCAGAGCUGCAUCAAGCUUAAAUGAUGUGUCCAUACUUGCCCCAACUGUUCAAGGUUUGACCUCUGCGGUCGUAUAAAGCUGCGCCCUGCAGGGCAUCUGGUUAUGAUUUAGUUUGUGAAAUAUAUAAAUAACACCAUACUAUUGUUAGUCCUGAAUAUAUUUUAUUAAUGGAGUCAAGUAACAAGUUAUAACAUGUUAGUUUUAAUGUUUAACUGUUUUCAAUAAUUUUGUUAACUUAUGUUGUAAACAGUAUUUAAUAUGUAUGAAAGGGUGAUAUUUUGACAGAUAAAGAUGGCUUAUGACCUAGCAGAUAUUCCUAACAUUAUUUUAUAUAAAUAUCCACAGAUCUGCAGUUUUUCUCCAGCAUUAUUUUAUAUGAAAAAAAAUGAUAUAGCAUGGUGUUCAGGGUUUUAUAAGUGCAAUAUGUACAUGCAUAUCAUUUUAAUUGAAAUCCAUAUUUUUAUCACAAAGAGAAUGGCCCAAUCUGGGCUGGUGACAUCAUUUGACACCAGGUGUAAAUUUGAACAGUCCCUAUAGUUUUCCAAAAAAAAAAAUGAUAAUUUGAAUAAUAUCUAUGUACUAUUCAUUAGUAUGUAAUAUGUAUACCCUCGCUUUGAAAAAGGAGGGGUAUACUGUUUUACCUCUGUCAGUCCGUCCGUCCCAUGAAUAUUUUUGUCGCAUUUUUCUCAGAAACUACAAUGCCAGGAUUUCUGAAAUUUGGUUUCAGGUUUUAUAUAAAUGAGCUAUACUGUGUGAUGUGUUUUCAGAUUCAUCACUUGACAACUUCCUAUUAACCGAACACUUGUAUCAUUUUACACAUGAUGGCCAAGUUGAAAAUUUUCAUCGCAUUUUUCUAAGGAACUACAAUGCCAGGAUAUCUGAAAUUUGGUUUCAGGCUUUAUAUAAGUCAGCUAUACCAUGUGAUGCGUUUUCAGAUUCAUCACAUCACAACUUCCUGUUUACCGAACACUUACAUAUUUUUAAACUAUUAACAUUAUCCACUUGCGACGGGGGUAUCAUCAGUGAGCAUUACAAUCUAUUUUGGUAACCCUGAGUUUGACUGACAGAAUAGGGUGAUAUUAAAGCUUCUUAUGAAUUCAUUUUUUUGUAAAUAUCAUUUGUUCAUGUAGAUAAUAUUACAUUUAUUAUACUUUCCUCCAUUUUGUUCUAAGUGCAUCAUCUAUUUUAAUAUUAACUAUAUAGUCCCAUGGUUAAUUUCGAAAAUGACACCAGUUUCUAAAUUAUUUUCAUCAUACAAUUAGUUUUUAUUUAUCCAUUUUGUUUGUGAUAAAUGGCCAGUAAUUUACAUGCUAUAUCGGGCCUGGUCCCCUGUUAAGAUGUAUAAGGUUCAGCUCCUGCAAAAUAAGAAGUGACUUUAUAUCAUACCUAUCUAAUGAAAACACAAUAAAUAUCCAAUGAACAUAUUAUGCCCCAUUUCACUUAUAGCGUCAUAAUGUGUUUAAGAUCCAUACUUAAUAUUUUCCACUUCAUCCCAUUGGAAGAGGGAAUAAAUUAAUUUCAGUAUGAUGAGACAAAAUCUAUCCAUGUCAUAUGAAGUUAAUAGCUGAAAUUAAUAACGGUACCAUUAAUGCAACUUUCACAGUAAAAAAAAUCUAUUCAGAUCAUUUGGUAAAAAUUGAAAAUUAUUAUACAUUUGAAAUACAUGACAAAUAGACUAUGAAAAUUGUUACGCAAAAAUAUAUAUACAUGUACAUGUAUAAUUCAAAUUUGAAUUAUGAUCAUUUUACAUUUAUUUAAAAUUCUUGCCAAAUUUCAUCCAUCAGACUUGCUGUAGAUGUGUCCUUUUUUAUCUGCUUUUACAAGUGUGUGUGUUUUCCAAAGUCAACAAAGAUUUGACUUCAUUGAUAUUUUGCCAUCAUUGUCACUUCCUUUUUAAGAAUCAUCUGUAUCAAGAGUGCAAAUCGUAUUUAAAAAAAACAUAUAGACGUCACAAUUGAAGCAAUUUAUGGAUAGCAUCUCUCAUCCUUUUGAUAGCUAAUUUUAGAACAAUCCCUACACUUUGCUUUGCAACUAUUUUAAAGUCAUUUUGUAACAGUCUUGAACAAAAAUAACUUUGAUCAUUCAGCUUUUUGUGAUGGGUUAUCAGACAAGCGCUCUUUAUUUCCAUACAUUUUUAGAUUUAAACUAAUAGUAUAAUCUUAAAAUUCAUCGUGUAUGCAAUGUAAUUAAAAAUCUGUAGAAAGUAAAUAAUAAUCAUCAAUAAAAUUAGAGGAAAAAACAAUUAUAAUAAUUGCUUUGAAUUAAGCAGCUAAAUUCAACAUUUUCUUAGGCUCUUAAGAAAGAGAAUAAUAUACAGACAUUUAAUAGGAUCCUAGGUCUCAGCCUAUGUUACAUUUUACAUUUAGUUUUUUCAAGCAUUAGGAUAUUACAUUCAUUAAAAUAUUUUAUUUUGAAAGUUAGUGUUCUGGACUAUUCUUACAAAAUAUGUAAGUUAACACAUGUAAGAUAACAAUGUAUAUUUUUAAUUUUUAGCUACAUGUUCAAUAACAAGUUUGUCCUUUUAUAUAAUAAACUUUAACAAUUACUUAGAAUUAAUGGUAUCUAGUUAUGUAGAGUAAAAAUAUAUGAUACUGUAAGCUUAUUUUAAACAUUCUUAUCAAACAAAGUAUAAAUCUGGUUGUUGUAUUGGUUAGAUGCUGACAUUUUAUCCACAUCUCCUUAUAUUUAUAUAUAUGAAAACCAUACUAGAUUGGUAUUUUUAUAUAUUCUGGCUACAAGGAGGGGUUAUUUUUAUGCUAUAAUAUUAUCUCAAAGUGUGUUAGGAUAAUUUGUUUUUAGUAUUUAUUAGUUGUGCAAGAUGAGAGAUUUCAGUGUAAAAACAUGCCUUUUUCUUUUUAAGUGUGAAAAAAAACAUUUGUAUUUGGGAUCUGAUGAGAGUACAUGUGAGAAUGUUAAUUGUUGUUAUAAAUUAUUUUGUAUGUUCUGUGAUAAAAAUUGAAUAAAAUUAUAUUUGAAACUUUAAA